rnacentral:rRNA from 1 species
UACAGAGGGUGCAAGCGUUGUUCGGAAUUAUUGGGCGUAAAGCGCGUGUAGGCGGCUUUGCAAGUCGGGUGUGAAAGCCCUCAGCUCAACUGAGGGAAGUGCGCCCCGAAACUGCAGAGCUUGAGUACCGGAGAGGAUGGGUGGAAUUCCCCAAGUAGAGGUGAAAUUCGUAGAUAUGGGGAGGAACACCGGUGGCGAAGGCGGACCAUCUGGACGGAUACUGACGCUGAGACGCGAAAGCGUGGGUAGCAAACAGGA